UGGGUGGUAGGGGAGCGUCCUGCACCGGGGGAAGCCUGUGGGUGACUGCUGGUGGACGGUGCGGGAGUGAGAAUGCAGGCAUGAGUAGCGAUACUAGGGUGAGAAGCCCUAGCGCCGAAUGACCAAGGGUUCCAGGGCCAGGCUAGUCCGCCCUGGGUGAGUCGGGGCCUAAGGCGAGGCCGACAGGCGUAGUCGAUGGAUGACGGGUUGAUAUUCCCGUACCGGCGAA
rnacentral:rRNA from 1 species